UACGUAGGGUGCAAGCGUUGUCCGGAAUUAUUGGGCGUAAAGAGCUCGUAGGCGGUUUGUCGCGUCUGCUGUGAAAACUCGGGGCUUAACCCCGGGCCUGCAGUGGGUACGGGCAGACUAGAGUGCGGUAGGGGAGACUGGAAUUCCUGGUGUAGCGGUGAAAUGCGCAGAUAUCAGGAGGAACACCGGUGGCGAAGGCGGGUCUCUGGGCCGUAACUGACGCUGAGGAGCGAAAGCGUGGGGAUCAAACAGG
rnacentral:rRNA from 1 species